AAAAUGGGUCUAACGAUCACACCUACUUGACUGGACUACAAUGAGGAAUCAAGUGAAUGCUAAGAAAAUGCUUUGUUAGUCGCAAAUCCCUGCAAAGACACAAGAUAUUUCAGGGUUCUCGAAUGACUUCCUUCAUGUAGGAGUCACAAUUCGCUCCUGUCCCUCUUCUCUGCUUUAACCAUCUGUCUCUCCAAUCUGAAAUCUGUUCCAUCUGAGCCCUAGCUGACCAGAGCCUUCCCUCUCCCUCUGUCCUGCCACGGCCUCCCCCUCCCAACCCUGGCUUGGCUCUGGGGGUGCUCAGUGGAAUAUGCAAAUGUCUCCCUAACCAGCUGGUGUCUGCCUCCCAGAAACACAUGUUCUUAAGCCUCUCUGCCUCACCAGGGAGGGGGGACCAGAGCCUCUGUCCAUGCCACAGCCCGGAGAGGACAUAUUACCGAGCAAGGAACAGCACAGCAAGCAGAUGGAGAAGGACUGCUAGCCACGGGGGAGGAAGGCAGGAGAGGAGCAGGCUGCCGGCUUGCUAGCCUGAUGCCACAGGAGCCUCUUAAGAGCCUCCGGAAUGGACCACAACAGAGCAAAGACAAGAGGUACAAAGUCUUUCAUCCCAGCCCCGGGACAGGCUGUCGUGAGCCUGGCUUCCUGAGAGCGGUGCAGGUGG
rnacentral:lncRNA from 1 species